UCGGCACAAAGACAAACAAACUGACAUAAAUAUCACAGAGUCCGGUUGCAAUUAUCACAGAAACUCGAUUGGCGUGGACGAACGGUAAAUAUCACAGGUCGAGCUUGUUCAGCCAUUCUAGCGCCCCACUGGUUAAUUUUACGAUGUCCGCAAUUUCGCCCCUGUAUUUAUAGAUCGGACAAUCCAUCAACAGGUGUGUGGUGCUCUGGCAAGCGAAUCCACAUUCGCAGCUGGGAUCGUUUCUCAGAUUCCACUUGGACAUCAUUUCGUUACACCGUCCAUGCUUCGUCCUCAGCCGAUUGAGGUUACACCAGGCUUUACGCGGCAAAUGAAGUUCUUUUGAUCUAGCGCCAGUGACGGUUUUCGGCUCGAAUUCGUUUUGCAGAAGGUUUCGUGCAGUGAAUGUCGGUGCAUUCCUGGACUUUAGCCUUACAAUAGUUGGCAGUGAAAAGUCGCUGUGUAAUGGGAUUUCGCUGUACUCGUUCACUUUCCGGCAUUGAGCGACCAGUGCAUUCUGUCGGCGGAUGUGCGGUGGUACAAUGCUGCUGAGAGCAGGGAGCCAUUCGGUCGGAGUAGACUUAACCGUGCCAGUGAUUAUUCUCAUAGAAACGUUAAGGUCCACAUCAACUUUCCUGGCAUGCGCGCUAUUGAUCCACGUUUGACAACAGUAUUCGGCACAUGAGUAAACAAGCGCUAGUGCGGUCGUACGGAGACAUGCAGCAGCAGCUCCCCAUGAUGUUCCCGUUAAUUUCCGAAGCAAAUUGUUCCUGGUGGUGAGUUUAGCUCGGAGCUUCCCAAUAUGCGGUGGAAGCAGCUCGCAACGGUUUUGGUAAUGCUCGGGAUCAGCCUCCAUUGCUUGCAAUAUCGGACGAACUCUUCCAUAUCUCUGGAAUUUCCGAGCAAUCGAUGUCGGAAGGUCAUGUAUGUACAAGUUGAACAGAAGACGAGAGAGUACGGAGCCUUGAGCGAGGCCGUUAUUUAGUUUCCUGAAUCGGCUGCAUUUAUCGGUCAGCAACACUUGGAACAGUCUGUCGCUGAGCAUAUUUGAGACUAGGUUGACGAUCUGUAUAUAAACUCGAAGACAUACAAACACAAACGUUUGGUUUAUGUGUACGAAAGCAUCAUGUGUGACAAUUAAACAAAAUCAAAGCAACAAAUCGGGAUUUAAUCGUGAAUCUUGGUCGCCGAACCGGCUAGAGCGCGUCAAUUUUAUGCACAUGAUCUUGAGUUCUAUUCUCACAACAAACAUUUUUUUAUAUUUUUUCAUUCUGUUAUCAAAAAACUGUUAAUUAACUGAU